rnacentral:sRNA from 1 species
GUUCGUUUGUACAAAGACCCUUGCAUUUAUUGGACUUGUCAGUGUCUGUAAGUGAAGCAUAAUUCACGGGAACUGUCUCCUGAACCGGCGAUUCUCCGAGUUCAGAAGGCAGUGUUUCACACUGGAGUGCCUGGAAGAGCAGAGGUUAGAAGACCCCUCACAGCGGACACAGAGACAGAGAGCUGGCAGGAACCUGUGGCCCUGGCCUCAGCCUUGUUCGUUUGUACAAAGACCCUUGCAUUUAUUGGACUUGUCAGUGUCUGUAAGUGAAGCAUAAUUCACGGGAACUGUCUCCUGAACCGGCGAUUCUCCGAGUUCAGAAGGCAGUGUUUCACACUGGAGUGCCUGGAAGAGCAGAGGUUAGAAGACCCCUCACAGCGGACACAGAGACAGAGAGCUGGCAGGAACCUGUGGCCCUGGCCUCAGCCUUGAUUGCAUUUGUGGCUUUGCUGGCAUGGCUAGAGCCUUCCGCCAUGCUCCACGCUCUUCAUAUGACAACAGACAUGCUCCAGGAGACAAGCAAGCAAACCCACGAUCCCAUCUUAAAACAUUAUUGAGGGAUGCUUGUUCAAGUUCCUUUGGCCAAAGAAAUUCCUGUAGCCGAGCCCAAGGGAAGGGCAUGAGAGCCACUACACUCAGGUGGAGGCCAGAGGAUAACUGGUUACUAGGACUCCUUGCUAAUGCAGGAACCUUUCCCUCUGUCCCAAAGGCAGAGCUUUCAGAAGUCUUUCAUGGUGGCCUUGUGGAUCUAGCUGUAUGCACCUGUACCCACAGCCAUGCCUGGUCUUUUACCGGGUGCUGAGGAUUUGAACUCAGGUCCUCAAGAUGGUGAAGCAAGCACUCUUACCCACUGAGUCAUCUCCCCAGCCCUGAAGAACUGAAGCAUCUCUCACAGCUUGUAUAGAUCCAGAAACACAGCAGUACCAACAUUAAAGUGAUGCCCUUUUUAAAA